CCCCACCUCAGCAGAGCUGCGUCUUUGUGCUUUCAGCUUCUUUACAGUGCUGCCUUGUAGCAUUCAGGUCAAGCAGCAUUGUACAGGGCUAUGAAAGAACCAAGAAUGGGCUGCCCUUGGGG
ensembl:miRNA cja-mir-103a-1 cja-mir-103a-1